ensembl:lncRNA
CAAACGGUGGCCUAAAUUGUGGGAUCUGAGCUGAUUAUAAGCAGCGAGACGCAGAGCGGUAAAGAGUCCUGAAUCCUCACAUGCGGUACCAAUUAGUGUGUGAAAAGGGCUUCUGUCACUCAUCUGCCUCGUCAACAGCAGAACUUCCCCGGUGCUUUGUGGGUAAACAGCUGCAUAAAACAAGUGCGACGGUUAUUUUUUUGCUAAAGCAGUAAAACAAGCUCGGCUGUUUCUAAAGACAUUUCCAUAACGCGCGCGCGCUCACACACACACACGCGCACCAAAGAUGUCCAGUAAUGGAUCUGCUGUCAUAAACCUUGAGAAGUAUCAAUCAGCUGUGUAAGGUCAAUACGAUUAAGGAAACACAUGAUGGGACAUGCUGUUAUAGGAAAGUAAUCAACAACAGGGUAGUAUUGUGAUAUUCAGUCCAGGAUUUUGUGCUUUUGAGUUUUUUUGUGAUUGUUGCGGCCAAAAAUGCUUGAUUUUGCUGCGUUAUUUAUUUAUUUAUUUAUUUAUUUAUUUAAAUUUGCGUUGCAACUUGUGGAGUUUUUUUUGUGCUUUUUUGUUGCUGUAAACUAGUUGAAUUGGCGAAAUUGCAAUUGCCAGAAAUUGUCUUUCAAAGUGAUGUUUGUUGGUCAGUGAUAUCUUUUAGCUGUACUCAUAUGUCACAUGUGCCAAGGGGCCUUUGGCUGAACGAGCAUUGAGAUGAUGUGAUAUAGCGCGUUGUGAUGAUGUCACACGACAUGUCUCGGCCCAAAUUUGCAGAAGGUCUGUGGUCAUUUUGAAAAAUUGCAAGCUCCUCUGAAUAUUGUGGAGUUUCCUUUAUUUUAUGUUAAUUUCUGCGGUCCUGGAAUGACCGAUAAAUUGGUAAACAGUAGGUCUUUGCUUCUAUUACCCUCCAAACAAUAGAUUAACGGCUUACAAGUUUCCUCUGAGUUCUUUGAUUUUUAUCCUAUCUCAAAAAGCAAGCCAGUAUGUGAAUUAUCUAAUUCACCUAAAGUAAAUUGCCCUAGGUAUAAAUAAGUGCAUGAAUAUAUGUGCACAUUGUGACCUGCGAUGGACUGACAUCUCAUUCAGAAUGUGUUCUCACGUUAUGCCCAGUGCUUCCAGGAUGGGUUCUGGAUCCACCUUGACCCUGAGAGGAUAAAGCACUUACUAAUGAUAAAUGGCAUAAUAGUUGACCUUGCAGGUGUCCCAAGGAUUUCAUCAGUCAAUCAGUGAGCAAAAAACAUAAAAGGAGCGUCAGUACAGACAACAAUCAAGUGAAUUUAAUGUAAAUAUAUACACUUCUUUUACAGUAAGUAUAGCAGGCAGUUUGGAGAAAAAUGGCAUGAACUCAGAAGACUUGCUCUUAACCAAAAUGUUGGAUAAUUUAGAAAUUUAUAUUCUCUCCAUGUAAUUCAAUACAGAACAACAAAAAAGACUUCACUUUUUUCUGUUUUUUUUUUUGAUGGAGCUUUGAAAAAGUAGAAUAAAAAAAAAGCUUAUUGAUUUGAGAAAUCCUAAUGUUAGAGAGAAAGGAAGAAAAUUCUAUUCAUUUAGGGGUUUCAGGCAAACAAGCAUGUUUCUAGAUGUUAAUAAAGUAAAAAACUAAGUAGGAUAAAACAACAUGUUUCAACCAUUCAGGAUUUCAAAGGGUUAAAGGUUUUGUUAUAAUUGUCAGAGGGAGUUUAGUUUAAAUAUCCAGAGAGCCAAAUUCAACUAUUUGCCAAUGUCUUUUCUUGUCUGCAGUUGUAAUUUAGUCUGCUUUCCAGCCCACUGGCUGUUUCUGAGUGUGAUUGGUGCUGUAGUUUAUUCUUCUGCCAAGUCUGGAGUGGAGAAAAAUGGCAUCAGAAUACACCAGAACAGUGGGAAAGAGGGUCGCAGUGAAUCCAGAGCCUAUCCCGAACACUGGAGGUGAGGCGGGAAUAUACCCUGGAUGGAAGGCAAGCACAUUUAUACACUCAUUCACACUUAGAGGCAAUUAAUCUUAGCCAGUUCACCGACAGGCAUGUUUUUCGGACGUGAGAGGAAUCCUGGGAUGCCUAGGAAACCCACACAGUCAUAGGGAGGACUCCACACAAACAGUAACCUGAGCUAAUGAUCAAACCUGGGACCCUGGAUCUGUGAAGCAGCAACGCUAUCCACUGCACCAUCCUACUGUCAACUGUGCUGAUUUAAGACUUUCAGACUAGAAAUCCUGUAGAUGAAUCUACUGUACAGUAAAUGUGAGUAUGCACAGCUUUGUGGAUGGUAUGGUUUAAGUGUGAAUGUAUGGAUGUUGCCCAGGCCUUAAGGAGUAAUGGAAGAAUUGAUUGCUGAUUGAUCCUAGUGCCACUGAAAACACUUCCCAUUCAACCACUGCAUGACUUUUAUUUUCAUUAAAAAGGUAAUUUAGUAAUAGAUUGCACAAAUUGGUAAAUACACAUGCAUACACAAUGCACAAGUCCAGCCAUCUCAACAGAGUAUUGAUAAGCUCAGUGUCAUUUGAAGUGCUGUCUCUUGUAGAUCUGCAGAUGAGGGAAGUGAAAGCUGAAGGAACACACUGAUCUCAACAGGUCAGCAAAAUUAUGACGUUAGUUGAGGUUAUAGGAGGUCAAUAUGUCUGAAAAUCAAGAAGGACUGCAGAACUCUUACCGUCACGUGCGUGUCAGCUACUUAAACACUCCAGUGAAUCUCACUGGAGUCAUCAAAUAAUCACCCACAGAUUUUUCAGUCUGAAAAAAAAAGAGGAAAGUGACCAGGCAACAGAGAACAAACAUCUUCUCAUGCUUGUAAAUUCAUUACAAGUGUGUGGACUCUGUUACACUGUGGGGGCACUUGCACAAUUUGGGUCCACUUUUCUUCUUAAACAGAGGAGUCACUGUAAAGCAAUACAAUUCAGUAAAGUUCUGAUUGAUCCGCUUUGAUUCAUCCUAUGAUGAAUAAUUUCUAUGCUAAUGGGAGUGGUCUCUUCGAAGAUGACCCCACCCAUAUUCGCAGGGCACAAGAGUUAACUGAAUGGUUUGAUAAGGGUGAAAAUGAUGUAAAGCAUAUACUAUGGUCUUCACUGUCACCAGAUCUCAACCCAGUUGAACACUUAUUUUGGAGUGACGCUCUCUACCAACAUCAUCAAAACACCCACAGAGAGAGAGCUGUGUUCAGCACUCCAGUACAGUUCAAGAGAUUUGUAGAAUGUGCUCCAAGGAACACUGAAGCUGUUUUGGUGGUGAUGGACCAAGACCUUACUAACACACUUGCUGUGUUUACCUUUAAUUUGUCACCUGUCUGUUUUAUUUUCUUGAAGGCAUCUGAGAAACUCGCUGUGGGUAGCUGCCUUAAAACGUAAUGCCAUAGCUGAGAACUGGCUGAUAUGAAAAUUUUUAAUAUGAUCUGCACAUAUAUAGCGCUUUUAAAAAAAACUAAACAAAAAAAAAACCUUACUGGUUCUACAAAGCGCUUUACACUGUUUCUCAUUUACCCAUUCACACACACACACACACACACUCUCACACGAUUGAUACUUACACAACAAUUCUGCUGAACUCUCCUGAAGGUGUUGAGUAAAAGAACAGCAGCUCUGACAGUAGUUCCAGCUGCAAGGUGAAUCACAGAUUUAUAUUAUUCACUCAUAAUUCACAGUUGCUUAUAGAUUCUAUCAUAUAAAUUAUAAGUAAUACAUGCUUCGUGAAAAUUCCACAACAUUAUAUGCAGGCUA